AUUGAACGCUGGCGGCAUGCCUUACACAUGCAAGUCGAACGGCAGCGGGGACUUCGGUCCGCCGGCGAGUGGCGAACGGGUGAGUAAUGUAUCGGAACGUACCAUUGAGUGGGGGAUAACUAUCCGAAAGGAUAGCUAAUACCGCAUAUUCUCUCCGGAGGAAAGCAGGGGACCGCAAGGCCUUGCGCUCAUUGAGCGGCCGAUAUCAGAUUAGCUAGUUGGUGGGGUAAAAGCUCACCAAGGCGACGAUCUGUAGCGGGUCUGAGAGGAUGAUCCGCCACACUGGAACGGGGACACGGUCCAGACGCCUACGGGAGGCAGCAGUGGGGAAUUUUGGACAAUGGGGGCAAACCUGAUCCAGCCAUGCCGCGUGAGUGAAGAGGGCCUUCGGGUUGUAAAGCUCUUUCGGCCGGGAAAAAAUCGCAUGGGCUAAUAUCCUGUGUGGAUGAUGGUACCGGAAUAAGGACCGGCUAACUACGUGCCAGCCGCCGCCGUAAUAC
rnacentral:rRNA from 1 species